AGAGGUGUAUUGUCUUGUGCACCAUAAAGCUACAUUAUAUUUAUGUGAGAGUUAUGGUUUUGCUUAUCAUAUGUUAUUGAUUCAUCAAUGUUUAUGCAAAUAUAUAUAUGGAAGAUCUUUAUGAAGACUUCACUGAAUUCAGAUUGGAUAAAAGAAAGCUCAGGGAAUAAAGAUUUCAUCAUAUUUUCUUUUUGUUGAUAACAGGAAUAAAAUUAUUCACGUGAAGUUAAGAGGAUUGAUGAAAUAACCCUAAAUCCUCUUUCAUUUUCUCUUACGGAGGAAUGAUUUUUAAUUAAUUUUGAGAAAAAUGAUUUUUAAUUUUUAGAAAAAAAGGAAGCUAGAAAUGGUAUAAUCCUCCAGCCGGCCCAAAUAAAAAUCAUGUUUUCAUUGUACUAUUUAGUAUCGAAUAGUAGCUUUCGUAAACUGAUUGCAUCCUUAACAUUCAAUAACCGAUAAUGUGGUUUAAUAUAAAAAAAUACAAUACUAUAAAUAAUCAAAACACUACGAGAAAAUGUGCCCAUAACAACGAAGAUUUAUG
rnacentral:lncRNA from 1 species